rnacentral:sRNA from 1 species
GCCAGGUAUAGUGGCGCACACCUGUAAUCCCAAUUACUCAGGAGGCUGAGGUAGGAGGAUUGCAAGUUCAAGACCAGCCUGGGUACUUUAGCCAGAUCCUGUCUCAA